UACUUGCUGAACAACAAGAAGGUGCCAACUGUUUUGCCAAAAGAUGUUUGUUCACCACAGAACGUAGAGACACUGCCCAAGCACCUCAUUCCACUAGAGAACUUUUGCACUGUAUGCCCAGGAAAGAUCCCUCUUUCAGAACCAAUCUUAAUUACACAAAAAAGCAAAGAUUGUCAUGUUCACUGGCAUACUGGAAGAUGUGACCACGUACUGUAAAAUGUGUGGGGUGUGUGGUCAUUUCUACCGGUACCAGGAAUGGACAGAGGGGCUGCAUAAUUUUGAUGACCACACAAUUCUAACACUGCAUCUUUGCCUGUUCUUGAGACAAUCUGUACAGAAUCACACUGCAGUUGGCAGGGCUUUGGACAUCUUGGAACAGACAAACCAAAAAAAAUAUCCAAACCAUGACUCCAUACUUCAUGGUUACCUUCACUUUGAGGCACUGACAGCGCAUGAUUACAAUUUUUCAUGUGUGCACUGUGGGGUCCAUCCACCUAUAGUAAUAAUGGACUUACACAAGAAGGGAGUUUUUAGUAUGCCAGUGAGUGAUAUUGAGGAUCCCCCUCCACAGUUUGAAGGUCACGUUGAUAUUGAAGAAUUCUGGCAAUCUGUUGACCAAGAAAUUAUUGCAGAGGCUUUUUAAAAAGUAA